rnacentral:lncRNA from 1 species
GCUGUCUUUGUCAGAUCCAGAGGCAGACACUCACCCUCAGCCCCACCCCCCUCUGGGGUAAUAAAUAUCCUUCAUGAUGAGAAUUUUGUGUCUGGAUGUGUUCUGCACAGACUCAGGAGCCCCCUAUUCUCAUCCCCGUGGCUCAGCAGGGGCAUCCGGCUCUCUGCCCAUUGCCCCACACAGCCAUCUGUCUACCUUGAGUUUUUAUCUAUUGUCAGUGGGACCCUGUCGAUGUUUGCUGUGCCUUUUGUACAACAUAUAGAGACAGUACAUCCACUAGAACACUGUAGGAAGCAGUAGGGAUGCUCACUAGAUUUGAAGUGAAUAUGUUUAGCAUUUGGAUUUAAACGAAGUAAGCCAGACCAUUAAUUACUCUCAUAUUCCGUUGGGAUGUAAUACAAAAAUUACAUGAAAGUGGCUUUACAGAGGCAACUUCAUUUUCUUUUUUUUUUUUUUUUUUUGCAACUUCAUUUUCUAUUGCAUACUUAACAAGUCUCAAGAAGAUAGACCAGAGCAACUUGGUCCCUGCCAUAGGAAAGAGGAGCAGUAGGCUAAGAUCUGACCCAUUAAAGAGCCAUACCACAUGACUAGUUUCCUUUUGUUUCUGGGCUAAAAUAACCACUUUGGGGAGGGAAAGAUUUAUUUGGCUUUCUCUCCUGGCUCACAAUCCAUCACUGAGGGACAGCAGGGCAGGAACCUGAAGCAGAAACAAUAGACAGCUACUGCUUACUGGCUAGUUCUCAUAGACUCAUGCUUAACUAGCUUUCUAGGGGUGGUGCUGCCCACAGUGGGCUAGACCCUCCUGCAUCAAUAAGUAAUUAAGACAAGCCCUACAAAUAUGCCCACAGGUCUGUCUGAUCUAGACAAUUCCUCAGUUGAGACUUUCUGGGCUCUAGGCUUUGUCAAGCUGGCCAAGUGAACCAGGACGUCAAGUGUGCAGCUUCAUGUUGGAUUUUACACUUUCACUAUCAAAUAUAUUUGUAUGCACUUAUCCAUUUGUGGGGCCAGGGGAGCUAUGGAGCUGUAGGAAGCAGACCUGGAGCAAGAGUAGGAUUAAGGCCUGUCCAAAUCCCAUUAAUCUUGUCCUAAGAUCAGCAGGGGUAGGAUCGUCUGCAUGUCCUGCAAACAUACAUCCAUGCCUCCACCUUUGAGCCACCAGAGAAGGUCACAUAGCCUGGUAGCCAAGUUCAACUUCCUUACCCCUUAUAAAGUCAUGUCUAGCAGCACCUGGAAUUCCUCCUUAUGCAAAUGAGGCAUCCCCAACACACCCUGGCCUGGACCAAUGAUAUACACUCACCACCCAAAGAUUUAAAUAGCCAAAGGUUAAAUAGCCUUCCUGCCCAUUAAAGGAGCUGCUCACUGAAGCCUGUCUCCAGAUAAGUCUGUUUCACAUCCAGUUCACUUGCUGCCUGUGGUCUCCAUCAUCCCCAACCCCAACCUUGGCCAAAUAAGUUUUGAUAUAACCUAUUUGUCAUUUUUGGUAACGUUUGUCGUACUCAUCAGUCCUAAAAUAACAGGUUCUGGGUCCUGCCAGAUGUGAAGAAGGCAAGCCGUGAAUGUAUCCACUUGUGAGUAGAGAAAUACAAAUAGGGACUAAGAGUGAUGGGCCAGGAGAGAUGGCUCAUUGGCUAAGAAAAGUGACUGCUCCUUCAGAGGACCAGGAGUCCAUUCCUGAUACCCUCAUAACAGCUGAAAACCAUCUGGAAGGCCAGUCCAGGGGAUCCAAUGCCCUCUUCUGGCCUCCAUGGGCACUGUACACACAUGGUGCACAGACAUACAUGCAGGUAAAACACUCAUAUACAUAAAAAUUUAAAAGCAACGACAAUGAUUGCUGUGUGUGGUAGUGCAUACCUUUAGUCCUAGCACUCAGGAAACAAAGGUUGUGAGUUCAAGGCCAGACUGGUCAACAUAGCC